AUGAACGCUGGCGGCGUGCUUAAUACAUGCAAGUCGAACGGACGCCUUGAGUAGCUUGCUACAAGAGGUAGUGCGUGGCGAACGGGUGAGUAAUACAUACGGCAAUCUACCCCGGUGAGCGGGAUACCAAGGGAAACUCUGGAUAAUACCGCAUAGGUAAUCGGAAGGCAUCUUCUGAUUAUUAAAGUCGCGUUUGCGACACUCCGGGAUGAGCUUAUGGCGCAUUAGUUAGUUGGUGAGGUAACGGCCCACCAAGACCAUGGAUGCGUAGCCGGCCUGAGAGGGUGAACGGCCACAUUGGGACUGAGACACGGCCCAGACUCCUACGGGAGGCAGCAGUAAGGAAUUUUCGGCAAUGGACGAAAGUCUGACCGAGCAACGCCGCGUGAGUGAUGAAGGUCUUCGGAUCGUAAAGCUCUGUUGUAAAGGAAGAACUGAUAUCGGAGGAAAUGCCGGUAUCUUGACGGUACUUUACUAGAAAGUCACGGCUUACUACGUGCC
rnacentral:rRNA from 1 species